UGGAUUUUGUAUGUUAACAAUCUGCAAUAUUUUGCAAUAUUUUUUUUGUUCUUUGUGUGUGGAAUUGUUUUGGUGGCAAUAAGAGCAUUGAAAAGUUGAAAGCUCAAGAGAAUAAAUCGACUCUCGGUGUCGGUUGGUGAUGGAGAUAUUUCACCCGCGUUUUGCAGCUAGAGAUGUCGGUUAAUCGUUCGAUUAAUUCAAAUAAUCGAAUAUCUGUAUCAGUAAUUUUAUAUCGAAUAAUGAAAAAUCAAGAAAAUACAGUGCAAAAUUUGUUUAACCGUCAUGGUGUUUCGUCGAAAUUCAUAGAAUAUGCUAAAUCAUUUACGGUAGAAGCUUGAUUCCUAGGUGGUGGAGGAGACUGGGAAGAAGAAUUCAGGGUCUGCAGGAGUAAAAUGCGGACUUGAAGAUGGUGGUCUCAGCUCCCGUUCUAAAAUAGUAGUAUUCAAAUUCAGAGCGCCGAGGAAAAUAUACCAUACUUGUGAUCAAUGAUUCUAUGACCAAGCAGAGAUAUUCAAACAAAUCAGCUAUUUCAACAAACAACAUUCGAAGAAAAGAUAAUUUUGAACAGCCAAAAUUUUGGUUGGUGCAAAAAAAAUGCAUGUCGGACUCGACUAAUAUCGACAGACUCGAUAAUAUGUGAUUCGAUUAUAUACAAUUUUGAACUCGAUUAUAUACAGUUUGGAAAAAAAUAUUUUUUUUAUAUUUUAAGAAUGACUUAUUUCAAGAAGGAAGGUAACCUUUUAACGAUAAGGUGAAAUUUAAGUGGCUAUUACAUGUACAGUGGGGUGAAAAUCGUCAUUUUUGAAGAUUUUGCUUGAGUUUUUACCAGUUAUAUCGUUAUAUCGUUAUUGCAGCCAAAUUAAAAAAGCAGAAGUUGGGUGUCAAAAAACAAAUUUUAGAGCGGUUAGAGAGCUUUAAUUUAAUUGAUAGAAAUGAUCUAGUUGAAUAUAAAUUUUCAGGAUAAAAUUAAUAAUAACACAUUAAAUAUUAUUAACUUUCAAGUUUUCCACUUCCAAAAUGUUAAAAUCCACUAAUUUAGAUGUUCCACUACUAUAUCCUGUACAAAAUUUUCUCAUAUUUCAAAUGAAAGCAACAGAAUCGUCUUUCGUAGCGUAGUUUUUAAAGUAGAGCCAGUUUGAGGCAACACGUCCGAAACAAAAAAAAAUAGUUCUAUAACAUAUAACAUUGUUGGAAUUCGAACAUAUGCGUAGAAGGAUUUUUAUUCAUCAAAUAUGAUCGUCUAUUGCCUCCUGAAAGAAUCUGGAUAAAUUUAUUUUGACGUAGGACUACGUCUAACCGGAAGAUAUAGGGGGUGAAAUGGAAAUCUAGGCACUGAACAAGUAGGAAAAAAUGCAAGAUUUGGAACGCUUAUAACUCGAGCAUUUCUCAAUAGAUCGCAAAGGUUUUUGCAUCAAUUGAUAGGAAAUAUAUCUACGCAUCUAUCAUAACGAAUAACAUUUCAUUUUUCUUGAGAUAAAUAAUUGAAUAAUUGUGAAAUAUCAAGCAUUGUCAAAAUGCACUAUGUGCCCAUUUUUGAUUGGUCCAUUUUGUGCUCCUCAAAUCGUACCGACCAAAACGGGGCAACCAGAGCAGCAGCGAAAUAGAAUGAAGCACGAUUGGAAAGAAAAAAGAAAAACGAAACAUUGGUCGCAGUCUCACAAAUGCGUAAUUCUCGAGCCAGACAGUCAGCUUAAAAAUUCCCGCUCCGCUGCCGUAACGAUCAUUCUCAUUCUCAUUCAAACCGUACACCACAUCGGUUCGCAUUACAACACAUCAACAAACCAACACAAGCAGCCAUGACUGGACAUGGUAAAGGAGGAAAAGUGAAGGGAAAGGCAAAAUCCCGCUCGAACCGUGUUGAUCUGAAGUUCCCCGCAAGGGUAGCUAGGCCGAGCGCGUUAGUACCAGUG